rnacentral:rRNA from 1 species
AUUGAACGCUGGCGGCAGGCCUAACACAUGCAAGUCGAGCGGAUGAAGGGAGCUUGCUCCUGGAUUCAGCGGCGGACGGGUGAGUAAUGCCUAGGAAUCUGCCUGGUAGUGGGGGAUAACGUCCGGAAACGGGCGCUAAUACCGCAUACGUCCUGAGGGAGAAAGUGGGGGAUCUUCGGACCUCACGCUAUCAGAUGAGCCUAGGUCGGAUUAGCUAGUUGGUGGGGUAAAGGCCUACCAAGGCGACGAUCCGUAACUGGUCUGAGAGGAUGAUCAGUCACACUGGAACUGAGACACGGUCCAGACUCCUACGGGAGGCAGCAGUGGGGAAUAUUGGACAAAGGGCGAAAGCCUGAUCCAGCCAUGCCGCGUGUGUGAAGAAGGUCUUCGGUUUGUAAAGCACUUUAAGUUGGGAGGAAGGGCAGUAAGUUAAUACCUUGCUGUUUUGACGUUACCAACAGAAUAAGCACCGGCUAACUUCGUG